rnacentral:rRNA from 1 species
GAUGAACGCUAGCGGCAGGCUUAAUACAUGCAAGUCGAGGGGCAGCAUGAUUGUAGCAAUACAAUUGAUGGCGACCGGCAAACGGGUGCGGAACACGUACACAACCUCCCAAUAAGUGGGGAAUAGCCCAGAGAAAUUUGGAUUAAUACCCCGUAACAUAACGAUGUGGCAUCACAUUGUUAUGAUAGAUUUUUCGCUUAUUUAUGGGUGUGCGGCUGAUUAGAUAGUUGGCGGGGUAACGGCACACCAAGUCUACGAUCAGUAGCUGAUGUGAGAGCAUGAUCAGCCACACGGGCACUGAGACACGGGCCCGACUCCUACGGGAGGCAGCAGUAAGGAAUAUUGGACAAUGGACGCAAGUCUGAUCCAGCCAUGCCGCGUGAAGGAUUAAGGUCCUCUGGAUUGUAAACUUCUUUUAUAAGGGACGAAAAAAGGCUUUUCUAAGUCGUCUGACGGUACCUUAUGAAUAAGCACCGGCUAACUCCGUGCCAGCCGCCGCAGUAAAAC